GUUUCAGCCGCCGCGGUAAUACGUAGGGGGCGAGCGUUGUCCGGAGUUACUGGGCGUAAAGGGCGCGCAGGCGGUCUGGCAAGUUUGGAGUGACAGUGUUCGGCUUAACUGAGCAAGGCCUUCGAAAACUGCUAGACUUGAGCACUCAAGAGGGACAUAGAAUUCCGGGUGGAGUGGUGAAAUGCGUAGAUAUCCGGAGGAAUACCAAAGGCGAAGGCAGUGUCCUGGGGAGUGUCUGACGCUCAGGCGCGAAAGCUAGGGGAGCGAACAGGAUUAGAAACCCCCGUAGUCC
rnacentral:rRNA from 1 species